AGAACGAACGCUGGCGGCAGGCUUAACACAUGCAAGUCGAACGCCCCGCAAGGGGAGUGGCAGACGGGUGAGUAACGCGUGGGAAUCUACCCAGAUCUUCGGAACAACUGAGGGAAACUUCAGCUAAUACCGGAUACGCCCUACGGGGGAAAGAUUUAUCGGAUCUGGAUGAGCCCGCGUAAGAUUAGCUAGUUGGUGGGGUAAUGGCCUACCAAGGCGACGAUCUUUAGCUGGUCUGAGAGGAUGAUCAGCCACACUGGGACUGAGACACGGCCAGACUCCUACGGGAGGCAGCAGUGGGGAAUAUUGGACAAUGGGCGAAAGCCUGAUCCAGCCAUGCCGCGUGAGUGAUGAAGGCCUUAGGGUUGUAAAGCUACUUUCAGUAGGGAAGAUAAUGACGUACUACAGAAGAAGCCCGGCUAACUUCGUACCAGCAGCCGC
rnacentral:rRNA from 1 species